GACGAACGCGGGCUGCGUGCUGAACACAUGCAAGUCGAACGGAAAGGCCCUGCUUUUGUGGGGUGCUCGAGUGGCGAACUGGUGAGUAACACGUUAGUAACCUUCCCUUUACUUUUGGAUAACUUCAGGAAACUUGGACUAAUACCGGAUAGGAGCUCCUGCUGCAUGGUGGGGGUUGGAAAGUUUAGGCGGCUGGGGAUGGACUCGCGGCUUAUCAGCUUGUUGGUGGGGUAGUGGCUUACCAAGGCUUUGACGGGUAGCCGGCCUGAGCGGGUGACCGGCCACAUUGGGACUGAGAUACGGCCCAGACUCCUACGGGAGGCAGCAGUGGGGAAUAUUGCACAAUGGGCGGAAGCCUGAUGCAGCAACGCCGCGUGCGGGAUGAAGGCCUUCGGGUUGUAAACCGCUUUCGCCUGUGACGAAGCGUGAGUGACGGUAAUGGGUAAAGAAGCACCGGCUAACUACGUG
rnacentral:rRNA from 1 species